UACGUAGGGGGCAAGCGUUGUCCGGAUUUAUUGGGCGUAAAGGGUGCGUAGGUGGCGAUGUAAGUCUGGUGUGAAAUCUCGGGGCUCAACCUCGAAAUUGCAUUGGAUACUGCGUUGCUUGAGGAUUGUAGAGGAGAGUGGAAUUCACGGUGUAGCAGUGAAAUGCGUAGAUAUCGUGAGGAAGACCAGUUGCGAAGGCGACUCUCUGGGCAAUUCCUGACACUGAGGCACGAAGGCUAGGGGAGCAAACGGG
rnacentral:rRNA from 1 species